rnacentral:rRNA from 1 species
UACGUAGGGUCCGAGCGUUGUCCGGAAUUACUGGGCGUAAAGAGCUCGUAGGUGGUUUGUCGCGUUGUUCGUGAAAACUCACAGCUCAACUGUGGGCGUGCGGGCGAUACGGGCAGACUAGAGUACUGCAGGGGAGACUGGAAUUCCUGGUGUAGCGGUGGAAUGCGCAGAUAUCGGGAGGAACACCGGUGGCGAAGGCGGUUCUCUGGGCCUGUACUGACGCUGAGGAGCGAAAGCGUGGGGAGCGAACAGG